rnacentral:rRNA from 1 species
CGCCGCGGGGGCGCGCUCGACCUGCAUGAGGUAACCACAACCAACUGGGGGACGCAGCCACGCACUUAGAAAAAUCCCGGGCUCCCGGAAGAGCCCGAAAAUCACCCGAUCGCGGACUGUGUCACCA